UGUGAGGAUGCUUCAGCCUGAUCCAGGUCC
rnacentral:piRNA from 1 species